rnacentral:rRNA from 1 species
GACGAACGCUGGCGGCGUGCCUAAUACAUGCAAGUAGAACGCACAGUUUAUACCGUAGCUUGCUACACCAUAAACUGUGAGUUGCGAACGGGUGAGUAACGCGUAGGUAACCUGCCUGGUAGCGGGGGAUAACUAUUGGAAACGAUAGCUAAUACCGCAUAAUAUUGAUUAUUGCAUGAUAAUUGAUUGAACGAUGCUAUUGCAUCACUACCAGAUGGACCUGCGUUGUAUUAGCUAGUAGGUGAGGUAACGGCUCACCUAGGCGACGAUACAUAGCCGACCUUGGAGGGUGAUCGGCCAACCCGGGACUGGGACACGGCCCAGACCCCUACGGGAGGCAGCAGUAGGGAAUCUUUGGCCAUGGACGGAAGUCUGACCGAGCAACGCCGCGUGAGUGAAGAAGGGUUUCGGAUCGUAAAGCUCUGUUGUAAGAGAAGAACGGGGGUGAGAGUGGAAAGUUCACACUGUGACGGUAUCUUAACAGAAAGGGACGGCUAACUACGUG